GACGAACGCUGGCGGCGUGCUUAACACAUGCAAGUCGAACGGAAAGGCCCUGCUUUUGUGGGGUGCUCGAGUGGCGAACGGGUGAGUAACACGUGAGUAACCUGCCCUUGACUUUGGGAUAACUUCAGGAAACUGGGGCUAAUACCGGAUAGGAGCUCCUGCUGCAUGGUGGGGGUUGGAAAGUUUCGGCGGUUGGGGAUGGACUCGCGGCUUAUCAGCUUGUUGGUGGGGUAGUGGCUUACUAAGGCUUUGACGGGUAGCCGGCCUGAGGGGGUGACCGGCCACAUUGGGACUGAGAUACGGCCCAGACUCCUACGGGAGGCAGCAGUGGGGAAUAUUGCACAAUGGGCGGAAGCCUGAUGCAGCAACGCCGCGUGCGGGAUGACGGCCUUCGGGUUGUAAACCGCUUUCGCCUGUGACGAAGCGUGAGUGGCGGUAAUGGGUAAAGAAGCACCGGCUAACUACGUG
rnacentral:rRNA from 1 species